rnacentral:miRNA from 15 species
UAAAAUGGCCGUCAUGCAAAAU